rnacentral:tRNA from 1 species
UAAUCCUAAUAGUAUAAUUAGUACAAUUAAUUUCCAAUUAAAAAGUUCUAAAAGAUUAGAAUA